rnacentral:tRNA from 1 species
GAAACUAUAGUUAAAAAAUAACAUUACUUUGUCAUAGUAAAAUUAUUAUUACUUAUAAUUAAUUUCU